rnacentral:rRNA from 1 species
CCUACGAGUGGCUGCAGUGAGGAAUAUUGGUCAAUGGGCGAGAGCCUGAACCAGCCAAGUCGCGUGAAGGAUGACGGCCCUACGGGUUGUAAACUUCUUUUGUCAGGGAGCAAUUGGGUCCACGCGUGGGCUUAGCGAGAGUACCUGAAGAAAAAGCAUCGGCUAACUCCGUGCCAGCAGCCGCGGUAAUACGGAGGAUGCGAGCGUUAUCCGGAUUUAUUGGGUUUAAAGGGUGCGUAGGCGGAAUAUCAAGUCAGCGGUAAAAAUUCGGGGCUCAACCCCGUCGUGCCGUUGAAACUGAUGUUCUGGAGUGGGCGAGAAGUAUGCGGAAUGCGUGGUGUAGCGGUGAAAUGCAUAGAUAUCACGCAGAACUCCGAUUGCGAAGGCAGCAUACCGGCGCCCAACUGACGCUGAAGCACGAAAGCGUGGGUAUCGAACAGGAUUAGAUACCCCAGUAGUC